rnacentral:rRNA from 1 species
CGCGUAGGUGGAUAUUUAAGUCGGAUGUGAAAUCCCCGGGCUUAACCUGGGAAUUGCAUUCGAUACUGGAUAUCUUGAGUAUGGUAGAGGGAAGCGGAAUUCCCGGUGUAGCGGUGAAAUGCGUAGAUAUCGGGAAGAACAUCAGGGCGAAGGCGGCUUUCUGGACCAAUACUGACACUGAGGCGCGAGAGCGUGGGGAGCAAACA